AUUGAACGCUGGCGGCAUGCCUUACACAUGCAAGUCGAACGGCAGCACGGGAGCAAUCCUGGUGGCGAGUGGCGAACGGGUGAGUAAUAUAUCGGAACGUGCCCAGUCGUGGGGGAUAACGCAGCGAAAGCUGUGCUAAUACCGCAUACGAUCUAAGGAUGAAAGCGGGGGAUCGCAAGACCUCGCGCGCUUGGAGCGGCCGAUAUCAGAUUAGCUAGUUGGUGGGGUAAAGGCCCACCAAGGCGACGAUCUGUAGCUGGUCUGAGAGGACGACCAGCCAACAUGGAAGUGAGACACGGUCCAGACUCCUACGGGAGGCAGCAGUGGGGAAUGUUGGAGAAGGGGCGCAAGCCUGUUCCAGCAAUGCCGGGUGCAGGAUGAAGGCCUUCGGGUUGUAAACUGCUUUUGUACGGAACGAAACGGCCCUUUCUAAUACAGGGGGCUAAUGACGGUACCGUAAGAAUAAGCACCGGCUAACUACGUGCCAGCCGCCGCAGUAA
rnacentral:rRNA from 1 species